UGGACGUUUGUUCUGAACGACGUGGAGUUCAGAGAGGUCACCGACCUGGUGAAGGUCGACAAGGUCAAGAUCGUUGCCUGUGACGGAAAGAGUGAGUCGACCCAGAACAAGAGUGAUAAAUGAACUGGGGCUCGAGUGCUGCAGAGUGACGACUCUUCAUGUGUCGGCUGGAGCCACAGACGGACCUGGACUGUACAUAUAAUUUAUUACAGCAGAGUCAGAGCUGAGUGUGUGUGAAUGUGUGUGAGUGUGUGUGUCUGAGUGUGUGAGUGUGUUUGUGCGGUGUGUGUGUGUCAGAGUGGACCAGUCACUGUUUGUUUUUAUUUUCAGUUUACAGGAGUUUGUUCAGUUGCUGUUAUAAUUGAGCUCAAUCAUCUUUAAUAAAAACUUUAUUUAAAACA